AACUCAAUCAAAAGGGUCAAUUCCCUGAUGUCAAACUGUGCCAUACAAUUAGAACUAAGUUUUCACUUAUUAAUUCUAAAAUCAACACUGCCAUUUAUGAAUUUGAAUUACAUCAUAAGGAUGCUGCUAUGAAUUUGCACAUACCAGCACAUCAACGUUCCAUGUUGUCACAACCAGUCCAUGCAAGACUGCCCGACAUUCCUCUGCCUCACUUUGAUGGCAAUUUCAAUGAAUGGCUUCAUUUCAAGGCCACUUUCACUAGCCUCAUCAUUAAUAAUUAAUCUUUGGAUAACACAUUAAGGUAUUAUUAUUUGCGUCAAGCACUUCAUGGGGAAGCACUCACCCGUACCGCCAAUUCGCCCUCAAGGGAUUUCAAACUAGCUUGGGAAUUACUUACUCAAAGGUAUGACAAUGCUUUACUUAUAGCUGAAAAUCAUAUUCUAGUUAUUUUCAACCCUCCCAAACUUGAAUCUCGUUCAGCCUCAUCUUGGAGAGCUUUCAUUGAUAAUCAAUAAACAAACAUUUCAGCGCUGCAAUCAUUGACGCUUGACUUAUCAGUUCAAGAUAUUAUUUUCAUCCAUGUCACUAUCUCUCGUUUCGACAAUUCAACACUUAGAGACUGGGAAAGGUUCCUCUCUAUGAAAACAAAACUCACACUUGACAAUUUGUGGGAAUUUUUGGAGACUCAACAUAAGGUAGCACAAGCCUUAUCUCACACCAGCGCAUCAAUUACUCAAACGAGUUCUCGCACUAUGGCCGCAAGCGCCAAUCAACCCAGCACCAGCAAACCUCCUUUCAGCAGAAGUCAGGUUAUUCAAAUUUCACAACAACCAGCACUCCCAAUGUGUUUAAUAGGUCUACGAAUUGUACAUUUUGUAGCUGUAAUUUGCAUAAUAUUUUCACAUGUCAAUCGCUCAUCAAGAUUCCACUUGCAGAACGAGCAUCCACAGUGUGGCAGAAAAACCUCUGUCUGAACUGCGUUCAUCCAUGGAACAAAUCUCACAGCUGUCGUGGUAGUUGCAAAACUUGUGGCAGCUCGGACUUCUUUGGUCCAGUCCUAUCUGAAAGAAAACUAUGGCAGCAGAAGUCACCACAGAGGGUCAUGUGUGGACCACUGAGCAACAAAAGUGAAAUUUAUUUGGGAUUAAAAGUUAACAGACCGUUGUGCAACCCGGCGAUAAUCUUGUAUUAAAGGAAGUUCUUAUGUUGCAAGCACAAGUUAUAAAGUUAGUAAAGGCUGUUAUUAAUUACAUCUGAUGACUUUUGUUGCUGCGAGAGUGUCGACCAUGUUCAUCUACUGAAGCUGCAAUGACAUCCACUAUCUCAUAGAAUGUUCUAUGAGCAGUACUUUGAGAAAAAUUAUAUGUCAUCAGCAGCUAAGAAUGUCUCUGGUUUGCUCAACAUCCAAACUGUAAAAAGUAUUUUCUCCUCAAGAGGUAUUUCUAUAUUUGCAUAUGAUUAUAUAUUUGGCUGAUUAAUUCUCCCUCCUAUAACUUCUAAGAGCACCUGAAAAUGUUGAUGUUAAUCUUUGUAGAAUUGGAAUUUAAUAAAAAAAAACA